rnacentral:rRNA from 1 species
UACGUAGGGGCCUAGCGUUGUCCGGAAUUAUUGGGCGUAAAGAGCUCGUAGGCGGUUCGGCAAGUCGGAUGUGAAAUCUCCACGCUCAACGUGGAGGGGCCAUUCGAAACUGCCGUGACUCGAGUCCGGUAGGGGAGUGUGGAAUUCCCGGUGUAGCGGUGAAAUUCGUAGAUAUUGGGAAGAACACCCGUGGCGAAGGCGGCCAUCUGGACCGGUACUGACGCUAAGGCGCGACAGCGUGGGGAGCAAACAGG